GCAAGAUGAGAAAUCACUGCUACCCCAUGAAGUCAAAUGAUAAGAACGUUGUGAUCGACUGUGUGCAAGGCCACUGUUAAAUUGAGCAAAAUCAAGACUGACAGAAAACUCUGGGGUUGGCAAUCAUGAGUAGGAUCUAUCCUAUGCUCUCGAAGAUCUCAGUUUCUUGUGAAUGACAGAAGGACAUCAACAUAAGAGGCAAAACUCCAUGAUCAAUGUGAAGGAUUGUUUUUCUUCCUCCUACAAGGUUGUCAUUUCCAAGAAAAGUAUUUCAUGUAAUACUCAAAUUUUGAUCUCUGUGAAAGAAUGAAAAAUGGCUUCAAUCACUCCAGAAAACUGAACGUUCCUAAAUGACUGAAGUUUUAUAGCUUUUCUCCUAUUAAGAAAGCCCUUUGUUUAUGGAACAUGCAUUUUUUUUGCAUAAUAUUUU